GUCAGAAUGGCAGAGUGGUCUAAGGCGCCAGACUUAAGAGCUGGAAGCGUGGGUUCAAAUCCCACUUUUGACA